CAGAUACUCCCUCCGUCCGGAAAUACUUGUCAUCAAAAUGAAUAAAAUGGGAUGUAUCUAGAUGUAUUUUAGUUCUAGAUACAUCCCUUUUUGUCCAUUUUGAUGACAACUAUUUUCGGACGGAGGGAGUACAUG
rnacentral:pre_miRNA from 1 species